rnacentral:lncRNA from 1 species
AUUGCGUGACUGCAACGGGGUAUAAUCUCCUAUUGGGUGACUGGUCUCCAGAGGAAGCUGACAUAUGUAAAUAUAUCAUUUAUUAAUGAAGAGCAAUACCAGGGUAGUCAUCAGGUAUGUCCUGUCUAAUGUAGAGAUUGACCUUUACAGUAAGAUGAUCUCCUACUUGGCUGACCACCUCAAAGGUAGCAUACCCUGUUGCAUACCGGAAUUGUUUGGUUCCCCCUAAAAUUGCAAGUUCAUUGACACCCAUAGACUGUAUGAAAAUUCCUUUCAUUUCCACAGUGCUACCACUGUACUUUCCAUUAGUGAACAGAAAAGUUAUCACAAGCUCUACGUUGGUGUUAUCAAGGGAUGCUACUGCAGCAAUGCCUUGCGAACGGCCGACUAGCGCGGAUUUGAACGAAACGCUUUGGGUCAAGGUAUUAUCAACGACAAAAACAGUUCCAAAUUGGUUAAAGCCCCAGGUUGCGUUGGGAAGACCUGCAACUGGGAAAACGCUCUGGCCAUCUCCACUUCGAAAUUCAUGGUCGUACACCGUCAAAUUUGUGAACACUGUCUUUGAUUGUCCCAAGCUUGCUAGUAAAAGCAGGCUCAGAAUUUGGAGGGAUGCUAUGGCUAAACUCUUUGCCAUUGUUUUGCUACAGAAACAAAGGAGGAGGAGAAAGAAGGAAACAAAUUGGGGUGGUGUGAAGUAUAAAGACGAUGAGGAGGACUAUUUAUAGGACCACAGUUGAGGGGAACGCAACGAUUUCCGUUUUCCAAAAAAAUUCAAAAAAGUGAAAAACUUUGUUACGUAACCGCUUUUCAAUUUCAAUAUUAUUGUGUUAAAUAGAGCUCCACGUGCCUAAAAUUGUACGGAGAGUGUAAAGUCCAAAAAUUAAUAUGUGCACGUGAUACGAAGUUGACAGAUGAAGGUCGGUUUUUUGUUUUUCUCGAAGGAAAGGAAGAUGGGGUUAUGGGACUCGGACCCAUAGUUAUUAAACCCGGCCCGGAAAGGAACCCGGCGAAAAAGGUGGGUGAACGGGUUACUGGUUCAACUAGUGGGUGAGUGGUUCAACCGGUGGGUCACGAAAUAUAUUUAAAUAUUAUGUUUCAUAAUUUUUUGAUAUGGUUAAAACUAUAAUAAAUUAUGUCAUAGUAAAUGCUUUAUUAGUCUAAUUUAUUAUAGAAUCAUUAAUUCUUAUAAGAAUUAACAAAACCUAAAUGCAAUUAGUAAUCCAUCAAAUUUCAAGAAUAAAAUUUUAUCUAAGUAUAAUUAUCUAGUUUAUUUAUGAAUUUUAAAUGCAAAGAAUUAUUAGGAACGAUAUUUGCCUUUAGAAUGAAUUAUGUGAUAUGUUAUUUUUUAAAUUCAUUUCAUAAUUUAUAGAGUCUGGGGAGUAAUAAAAUUUAUUAAAAGAUUCCAAAUAAAUUAUGUUUUGGAAAAUUAAAUAAGAAUAAGUCUAAUAUAUAAUAUAAAAAAAAAAGACUAAAUGACAAACAAGUGAGUUGUUGGUGUAGCGGUUGUUGCAUUUUCUUCAAUACAAGAGGUCGUUGGUUUGAAGCUUCACUCCAGCAUCUUCCAAACAUUUUUAACAUGCAAACCCGGUUUCCUAUAAAAUCGGACGGUUGACCGGUCGAACCGGAGGAUCGGGCCGGGUUUAAUAACUAUGCUCGGACCGGCCAACAAAUCGGAGAGGCGGCCGGUUCGCGGUCUGAUCAGUCGGUUCAUCGGUUUACUAUUUUUUUUUUUGUAAUUUUAGUGUUAAAUACUUCACACUUCACAGGUCUUCAUUCUACACUUGAACUUGAUGGCUAAUAUACAAUUUAACAUGGUUAUUAAUAACUUAAGUUCCUAAAAUGCAUUUACCAAUAUAACUAAAUUUAAGUUGACAUAAUAACAAAUUUCUUAAAAGUUAUACAUAAAACCUGGAAUGAUAAACAUCAUUAAAAUAUCAUAAUUCACCACAUGUUUUCAUAAAUUCAUUACAAACAUAAAUAGAUACAAUCCAAAUGUUUACCAAUUAUCACAAAUAAAAACACAAAAAUAAAUAAAAUAAAUAUUGAAAUUCUUUUGCAAUCCUUAAAAAAGUCCAUAAAAGAGUCCAACUCAUAUUCAAGACAAACCAUUUGAAUAACAAACUUCCAUCAGUGACAUGAUAAGCAACAACACCACUUUCAUAAUUUCAUCAACUUAACCUGAAAAUGUUAAAAUUUUAUUAUAAAAAUAUAAAUCUAAUUGCUCAAACUCAAAAAAAAAAAUUUUGAAAAUUAGGGGGAACGGAUGAAAAUUGGGAAAAUUAAGGGAAACAGAUGAAAAUAACAUGCCUUAUUGUAGAAUGGACUUCACACGGAUGCAAAUUAUUACCAUUAGCAUUUAAAUAGCCAGACGACAUACUCCCGAAUUCGCAUGAUGACCAGUUUCAUUUGUCGCCAGAAAGGUUCAAGAAUAUUUUAAUUCCUGUUUGGAUCUUCAUUAUUCCAUGAUCCUAUAUCAUUAAUUAUUUUAAAUUCAAUGAUCAAUAGCUUCGAUUAUGUGCCAACUACCAUAUUAUGAAUAAUCAUUAAAAUUUUUUAAAAGUCAAGAAUACAUUUUUAUACUACAAAAUUAUGAGUUCUAUUACUUAACCAAUGUCCUGAUAUUUUCUAUCCCAUGAUUUUCUACAUCACCCAAAUUUUCAAACUCUUAUCACUUCUUUUUUUACGAACAAACUCUUCAUUUUAGAUGCUAAAAUCCACCAUCAUAAUUCUUACUUUCAUUGUCUUUACCUCUCUAUAGGUUUCUUUCAUACAUUGCCUACCAAAUCGUCAGUUAUAAAACUCACAAUCCUUACCUUUUCCCUACUCAAACGGCCAAGCCUCCCAAUUACCAAAAUUCUUCCUUUUUUGAGUGAUAAAAGGUUAUAAUUUAAUGGUCAUGGUUGCAACAGUUUGGUCAUAAUAUUUGGCCUGGUCAAGAAGAAUUGUUUUCCUUUUUUUGUUAUCUUUUUUUAUCAAUGGCUUGUCGUUGGAAAAAUUAUGAAAGUUAUUAUAGUCAAGUGUAAAAUUGAAAACCUUAUGAAAGCUCAAUGAAACUAUUGGGAACCUCAGGGAGGUUUCUGAAAUUAUCCCUUCUAAAAAAUUGCUUGCGUCUAUUUGAUCGUCUUGCUGGUAGUUGAGAAAGUUUGUACGUUAUCGCUGUUUUAGUAUUCAGCAUCGUCCAUUUUUGACUAGUUUUCGCAUCAAUCUUCAGUACAUGUACUUGGUUGCAUCAGAAAAAGCUUAAGUAUUGCCUAAAAUGUCAUGUAUAUUGUCUUAGCUUUUGAUACUUGGCUUCUCAGCUCGUAAACUAAAUGGACAACCUUUUUUUUAGGCAACAAAAUGGACAACUUAGUCAUACUGAACAAGACAAAUAUGUGUGGAUCAAAUAAAUUGUUAUAUCCUAGCAAUUUUAGGAUUAAUUUCUCGCCAGAUAAAAAAAUGAGGAAGCAUAUUAAGCUUACACCAGGAAACACAAACAAUGGAGAGAAAUUAAUUUCUGGUAUGCGUAUUUAAUCUCUAGUAUGUGACUUUUCUAACCAAACCAACCCAAACAAAGACCAAGUUAUAGGGAUAAAGACGAGUUUUAAGUUUUAACAAUGGCAAGUCUCGUGCAUAAAUGCACACAUCAAACACGGACCAAACACACAAACAGUGGCGUACAAAUGAUUCCUGUGGUACAAUUUGUUUAUUUGGUUAAUUGCAAUUUGCACUUCUAAACUAAUGCUGGUAGCAGUUUGAAGUAUCGAUUGCAGCAUUCAAGCCCUUACACUAUUGAUUUAUAGUACAUUUUACCAAUUCAUUUAUACUCAACAAACUUUUUAUGGCUAUUUUUGAAUAAAAAGGCUUUAGUUCCAGUCAAUGAAAAAGAGAAUUUCACGAACAAAUGCAGAUUUGAGCUGCUUAUGUUCUUGUUUUAAUAAAUGGUAAGAAAUUUUAUUUAUUCGUAACUAACUUGAAUAGAGUGUCACGAGACUGAGGAAAUCUUGGUCUAUUGACUAAGGUUGAGACUGCAAGAAUAAAAGUUUUGGAUUCAAAAUUUUCUUCUUCCUCUUUAUUUCUUAAAUUCCAUCCUUUUUCUGUUUGGGAAAAAAAAUGAAUAGUGCAAGGUAAUAAAGUACUAAAUUCGAUAGUUUAAGACGCUAAAUGCAAAUAGAUAAUUGAGGGGAACAUAUCGCAAUUAAUGCUAUAACUUUUGAAAUAAGAAGAGAAUUAUGUGAAAAGAUAUUUAAUUAUAGGAGGAUAAAGUAAAAUUCAUCCUUUUUUUAAUUUGAUUCCUUCACCAUCAUCAUUCCCAUCCUUUUUUUAUUUUGAUCAUCCUUUUUUUUCAUUUUGAUUCCUUCACCAUCAUCCUUCUCAAUGAUUAAUGGACUUCUCCGGUUGCCUCUGGAGACAUUGAAAUGCUGUGUAACUUCUAUGCAAUCCGGGGAGGAUUCUUGAUGGCUACAGGCAACCACUCACGCAGAAAACAAUUGCUGACUCAACAAUUUCAAUCUAUUUAAUUCGCACCCCCCAAAUAUCUAGCACUUUGGUACUAUUUUAAAUCUCUACUUCAUACUUUCAUAAAGUCUUAAUGUCUCAAAUUGACUACUCUUACAAAAGAAUUAGACAAAACAAAAUGUCUAACAAGAAAUGCUUAUGAGACAUAGCAUGAUUAGAACAAAGUUCACUUGUAUUGAUGACUUUUAUAACUUUUAAGAGAAUCGUAGUUUUGGUCCCCAUUUUUUAGCCCUUGUGCCAAAUUGGUCUUGACUGCUUCAAGCAAAACAAAUCUAAUCCGAAACUUUUGUGACUUUAGGUAGAUUUAAAACAACUAACCAUGACUAACAGUCAAAUAUCAAAUUAUUAUUAGUCAACAACUUUGACUUAGCACUUUUGACCCAUAAUAUUUUGAUUUUAAAUCAUUAUAUUUUUCUUAAAUUUUAAAUAGUGAUAUUGAGGGUUUUAGCAUGAAUUGAAAUGCAAAACUAGAAUAAAAUAGUAGUAUUAAAUGGGUAAUAAGAAUGCUAGUUAAACUUUUCUUUUUCUUCUUUUUAUUUUAUUCAAUCAUAUUUGCAGUAUAUCAUAUGUUUCUUUUCUUUUGCAUGGUUAGUUUCAAACUUGGUAUGAUAUGUGUAUAUUAUUGUUCUUACUAUUAAUAAUUAAUUGACAAUGAUUUUUAUUAUUUUUAUUUCUAAUGGUAAUUAGAAAGCUUAAUUAAAUAUCCCUUAAAAUGUAAGAAAUAUAUACUAUUUGUAUGCUAAGUUGAUAUUUUUGUUUUGUUGUUUUGGUAUUUUAAUAGGUUAUUAAUUGAGUUUGAAAUAAAUUUGGCAUUUUAUACAUAUUAUAUGAACUAUUAAAUGAUUAUCAAGGUACAUAAAUAUUAAAAUAAAUGUUUUAAAACUACAAUAUUGGAAUGUUAGAUUUUAAUUAGCAAGAAAGACAUAAAAAAUAAAAGGUAGUUUUGUUAAGAAUUCCUAAAAUUACUUCACAUUGAUACUUGCCUUCACUUAGAUUAUAAAAACUAGUGAAGGUAAGUAUCAACAUGAAGUAGUCUAGGAAUUUUUUAAAAAAAAUUAUCUUUUGUUUUUUAUUAUCUUUCCUGCCAAUUAAAAUUUAACAUUCCAAUAUUGUAGAUUUAAAAUAUUUAUUUUAAUAUCUAUGUGCCUCAGUUAUCAUUGAAUAGUUCAUAUAACAUGAAAAAAAUGCCAUUUUCAUCUCAAAUUCAAUUAAUAACCUAUUAAAGUGCAAAGAAAAAAAGGAUUAGCUUAGUUUGCAAAAAGAAAUAUAUGACAUAUUAUUAGCAUGAAUAAGUUCAACAAAAAAAAUAUAGAAGAAAAAAUGUUUCAUUAGAAUACGUAUGAUCCAUUUAAUACGUCUAUUUCAUUCUAAUUUGCAUCUUAGUUUAUGCUAAAACCCUCAAUGUCACUAUUUAAAAUUUAGGGAAGUAUAAUGGUUCAAAAUGAAAAAAUUGAGGACCAAAAGUGCAAAGUCAAAGUUGAAAAGAAAUUAGAUUUAAAGAUGGUAAGUUAUUAUUUUAUUGGAUAUUCUGAAAGAUCCAUGAGUUAUAAAUUUUAUGAUCUCAUGACUACAUUGAUUUUUGAGAAGAAAAAUGUUCGAUUCUUUGAAGAUAUCGAGUUUAUGGGAAGAUAUACAGUUAGAGAUCUUGUCUUUGAAAUUUGAAUUAUCUCAAGUUUAAAGCAUUUAUCAAGUAAUAGAAAUUAGGAAACACAAAUAUUCGUACUUAAGGGAGCACUUUUAAGAUUGGUUACUUAUUCACCCGUUUGGUAGCAUGCUAAGAGAAUAUUUUCUGAAAUGUUUGAUGCUUUUGUUUUGUAGAAUUUAGUUCACUUUUGGCCACAUUGAGUUUUCUAAUUGCUCUCAACUAGGUUUAUCAUGCUACUGGAAACUUGCUUUUGACGUUGGUUGAUUUUCAUAAUUGUUAGUUAGAAAUACUAAAGUUGUCUGCUAUUAUCCAACUAUAUAUAGGUAAAAAAGAAACAUUUUGAUAAUUGUUAGCUCAAAAAUUAAACAAAGACUACAUAUAAAAAUAGAUAGGUACAAACAAUUCAUUGGGCUUGUUUGGAUUGUGAAUUAUUUGAGAUAUUUUUACUGUAGCACUUUUUGUGAUGUGAUGUAUGUGAAAUAAAAAGAUAAUUGAAAAGAUAAAAAAGUACGUUGGAAAUUGUAAUGAUGAUGUAAGCAGAUAUAAUUUGAUAAAUAAUUCACAAUCCAAACAAAGCCAUUAUAUUUUUCCAAAAUUAUGAUUGCAAUUGAAAGCUUUUUUGGGGGGGGGGGGGGGGGCACUGGCAACCUCAACCAGCACAUAUGUAUAUAUAUCAUUUAUUAAUGGAGAGCAAUACCAGGGUAGUCAUCAGGUAUGUCCUGUCUAAUGUAGAGAUUCGCCCUAAAAGUAAUAUAAUCUCCUAUUACGCUGACCGGCUCCAAGGUAGCAUACCCUGUUGCACACCGGAAUUGUUUGGUUCCUCCUAAAAUUGCAAGUUCAUUGAUGCCCAUAGACUGUACGAAAAUUCCUUUCAUUUCCACAGUGCUACCACUGUACUUUCCAUUAGUGAACAGAAAAGUUAUCACAAGCUCUAUGUUGGUGCUAUCAAGGGAUGCUACUGCAGCAAUGCCUUGCGAACGACCCACUAGUGCGGAUUUGAACGAAACGCUUUGGGUCAAGGUAUUAUCAACGACAAAAACAGUUCCAAAUUGGUUAAAGCCCCAGGUUGCGUUGGGAAGACCUGCAACUGGGAAAACGCUCUGGCCAUCUCCACUUCGAAAUUCAUGGUCGUACACCGUCAAAU